GACGAACGCUGGCGGCGUGCUUAACACAUGCAAGUCGAACGGAAAGGCCCUGCUUUUGUGGGGUGCUCGAGUGGCGAACGGGUGAGUAACACGUGAGUAACCUGCCCUUGACUUUGGGAUAACUUCAGGAAACUGGGGCUAAUACCGGAUAGGAGCUCCUGCUGCAUGGUGGGGGUUGGAAAGUUUCGGCGGUUGGGGAUGGACUCGCGGCUUAUCAGCUUGUUGGUGGGGUAGUGGCUUACCAAGGCUUUGACGGGUAGCCGGCCUGAGAGGGUGACCGGCCACAUUGGGACUGAGAGACGGCCCAGACUCCUACGGGAGGCAGCAGUGGGGAAUAUUGCACAAUGGGCGGAAGCCUGAUGCAGCAACGCCGCGUGCGGGAUGACGGCCUUCGGGUUGUAAACCGAUUUCGCCUGUGACGAAGCGUGAGUGACGGUAAUGGGUAAAGAAGCACCGGCUAACUACGUG
rnacentral:rRNA from 1 species